rnacentral:rRNA from 1 species
UACGGAGGGGGCUAGCGUUGUUCGGAAUUACUGGGCGUAAAGCGCACGUAGGCGGCUUUGUAAGUUAGAGGUGAAAGCCCGGGGCUCAACUCCGGAAUUGGCCUUUAAGACUGCAUCGCUAGAAUUGUGGAGAGGUAAGUGGAAUUCCGAGUGUAGAGGUGAAAUUCGUAGAUAUUCGGAAGAACACCAGUGGCGAAGGCGACUUACUGGACACAUAUUGACGCUGAGGUGCGAAAGCGUGGGGAGCAAACAGGG